GCCUGGCUGGGGCAGCCCCUUGGUGACCCGAGAGCUGGGGAGGGGCAGGAGAUGGAGACAAGGCCCCGGGCACAGGCCCCGGGUGCCCCAGCUGCCAGAGCCCCCGCAGCCGCCCCAGCAUCUCAGUCCCUGCCCUGACAGCAGCAGUGUGUGGUGCUGGUCGCUCUGGCAGGGCUUUCACUCCAUCUCCCUUCUCCCCACAGGUGCUGGGCCAGAGGUUUCGCAGGCACAGCUCAGCCGGGAGCUCGCCGUCCUGGCUGUGCCGCUGCUUUGGCAGCCGCCGCGGGGUAGGAGGGGACAAAAGCUCUGCCUUGCUGGCUGCAGACGGGCAAGUUCACAUACCCAGAAUACACCAAUGAGAAUGCCUUGAUCCCUAAGAACUCAUCGGUUAUAGACAGAAGAAUCCCACCUGCAGGAGGGGCGAGGGACUGUGUGGGGAGGGGCCAUGGCCCAGGCCGUGCUGGAGAGCCUGCACGCUGCAGAGCAGCCCCACACGAGAGGCAGAGACGAGCUGCAGCCUUUGGAGUCAGUGGGCAUCGGAGCAGCCCGUGCAGGGCUGCCAUGCGUGUGAGUUACCCCACGGACUCGCAGGGAGGACUGGUGUGGAGUUCACCCGUCCUGAGGAGGGACAAACGGCAGAAGCUAUUGGGAACAGACUGACUGAAACCCCCACUGCCUGCCCCCCCGAACCGUUCAGGGGGGGACAAGGUAAAAACCCCGGGAUCAGGGCUCUGAGCCCGGGAAGAGGGGAGGGGUGGCAAGAAGGUGUUCUUCAAAAGGCUGGUUGGACUCUUCAUUGAUGUAUUGCUCUGUGUUGUUUCAUUUUGGUUAUGUUUUGGGGUUUUGGGGGUAUGUUUUAGUUGACAUUGCAUUAAAUUGUUUCUGUUUCCUUCCCCAAACCGAGUGGCCUGGUCUGCUUUGUCCUGAACCUUCAGCGGCAAUUAAGCUCUCCCUGCCCUUGAGCAGUUCUCAGCCUCUUUGGUACUGGAGGCUAAUCGUGGUCUUUGUUCCCUGAUGGGCCUAAACCAGGACAAUAAGCAACUGCUCAAGCCUGUCUUGUGGUUUGGAAAAACACCAGGAAGCCAGAGGACCAGAGAAAGGAGGCCUGACGGAGGUGUAACCUGGGCAGACUGAGGUCAGAGAAUGGAUGGAGCUAGUGAAGUGUAAUGAAUAUGUGUCUCUAUUCUGUAUUAAUGUAGAAAGUUUUGUCUUGAACAGUGCACACAGUAGGCAGAGCAAUCCCCUGUGUGCCCAGCACUGCAAUAAAGAAUAUCUGCUUGAUAGUUA